rnacentral:rRNA from 1 species
GACGAACUGUGCAAACGUUAUUCGGAAUCACUGGGCUUGAAGAGUGCGUAGGCGGCCUUCUAAGUCGGACGUGAAAUCCCUCGGCUCAACCGGGGAACUGCGUCCGAUACUGGAGGGCUUGAAUCCGGGGAGAGGGAUGUGGAAUUCCAGGUGUAGCGGUGAAAUGCGUAGAUAUCUGGAGGAACACCGGUGGCGAAGGCGGCAUCCUGGACCGGCAUUGACGCUGAGGCGCGAAAGCGUGGGGAGCAAACAGG